GAGCCUUCGAAGCCCUAGCUAUGGAGAAAGAGAAAUCGAGCAAGCGCUUCCGAGACGAACGCGACCGACGAGACCGAGACCGAGACCGGGACCGGGACCAUCACAAGCAUCGCAGCGGCCGCGACGCUUCCGAUGACCACCACCGCCAACACCGCGCUCGAUCGGACCGCGAUUCGAAGCCAGAGCGCUCCCACGACCACAGAUCUCGCCGUGACAGGUCGCCGGAGCCGCGGGACGACCGGGAAGCGUCGCGCGACCACCGCGAGCGGUCGUACGAGAGGGAAGGGAGUAGAGAGAGGUCCAGGCAUCGCGAAGUGAAGCGGGAGAGGUCGGAGGAGGGAGAGG
rnacentral:lncRNA from 1 species